rnacentral:tRNA from 1 species
UCUCUGGUGGUCCAGUGGUUUAGGACUUCACCUUUCAAUGUAGGGGUGCAGGUUCAAUCCCUGGUCAGAGAG